rnacentral:rRNA from 1 species
GAUGAACGCUAGCGGCAGGCCUAAUACAUGCAAGUCGAGGGGCAGCAUAAAUAGCAAUAUUUGAUGGCGACCGGCGCACGGGUGCGUAACACGUAUACAAUCUGCCUUUUACAGGGGAAUAGCCCGGAGAAAUUCGGAUUAAUGCCCCAUAACAUAUGAAAUAGCAUUAUUUUAUAUUGAAAGCUCCGGCGGUAAGUGAUGAGUAUGCGGGUGAUUAGCUAGUUGGUGAGGUAACGGCUCACCAAGGUGACGAUCACUAGGGGAUCCGAGAGGACUACCCCCCACACUGGUACAUAGACACGGACCAGACUCCUACGGGAGGCAGCAGUAAGGAAUAUUGGUCAAUGGAGGCAACUCUGAACCAGCCAUGCCGCGUGCAGGAUGAAGGUCCUAUGGAUUGUAAACUGCUUCUGUACGAGAGAAAAUCAUGGUACGUGUACUGUGUUGAUAGUAUCGUAAGAAUAAGGAUCGGCUAACUUCGUGCCAGCCGCCGCAGUAACAC